GCACAGCUACAGACAGUGCUGGGCAAGCACCAGGCACAGCUACAGACAGUGCUGGGCAAGCACCAGGCACAGCUACAGACAGUGCUGGGCAAGCACCAGGCACAGCUACAGACAGUGCUGGGCAAGCACCAGGCACAGCUACAGACAGUGCUGGGCAAGCACCAGGCACAGCUACAGACAGUGCUGGGCAAGCACCAGGCACAGCUACAGACAGUGCUGGGCAAGCACCAGGCACAGCUACAGACAGUGCUGGGCAAGCACCAGGCACAGCUACAGACAGUGCUGGGCAAGCACCAGAUCCCGGGUCUCAGUCUCUGAUGAUGUCGUGAGGCAGAUCAGAGAAACUUCGGACCGACUCUUACGCCAUCCCCAAACCCCCCCGUCUGUCCCGCACCUGCGGGGCGGUGCCGGGCGGGACCCUCGGGGGCGGGCGGAGGGAGGGCUGAGGGUCCCGUGCUAUUUAACCGGGCUGGUUCCGGGGCUGGUUGGGAUGUUUGGGGCCGUCCCCACACCAUGCACCCGGGCCGGGACCCCGCGGGAUGCUCGGCUCCGAUCCCGCAGCGAACCCGUCCGUGUGCCCGGCCGCUGCCGCCGCCGGGGGGGGGGGGGGGGGGGGGGGGGGGGGGGGGGGGGGGGGGGGGGGGGGGGGGGGGGGGGGGGGGGGGGGGGGGGUGAGGCGGGGAGAGAUGCGGGGAGCGAUGCUUGGGGCGGGCACGGAGCGACGAGCGGGGAGAAAUGCGCGGGGAGAGAUGCGGGGAGGGAUGUGCGGGGAGAUGGGGGGAGAGAUGCGCGGGGCGAUGAGGGGAGCGAUGUUUGGGGCGAUGUUUGUGGCGAUGAGAGGAUGAGGGGAGCGAUGUUUGGGGCGAUUUUUGGGGCGAUGAGAGGGGAGAUGCGGGAAGGGAUGCGCAGGGAGUGAUGUUCGGAGUGAUGAUGCGCGGGGAGAUGCGGGGGGCGAUGUUUGGGGCAUCAAAAAGCCCAUGUUAAGUCAAAUCUAUUUUCCACGCAAAUUGUUUUUGCACAACCAGGAAAAUACUAUUUGGGAUUGGGGAUUUGGGGCUGGAUUGGACACCGGGCGAUGCUCGGGGCGAUGUUCGGGGCGAUGCUCGGGGCGAUGCGCUGGGAGAUGCGCGCACCGCCGGAGCAGCCACGGCGCUGGUUCUGCCCGCAGGCAAAGGCAGCUACUGGACGCUGGAUCCCAACUGCGAGAUGAUGUUCGACAGCGGGAAUUUCAGGAGGAGGAGGAAGCGGCGAGCGGAGGCGGCGCAGGGAGCCGGGGACAGCGGCGGGGACCAGCGGGGGGGGGGGGGGGGGGGGGGGGGGGGGGGGGGGGGGGGGGGGGGGGGGGGGGGGGGGGGGGGGGGGGGGGGGGGGGGGGGGCGGGGACCAGCGGGGGGCACGGCCACCCCCGCCCGAGGCCACCGGGACCGGGCUCACCCCCAGCUCAGCCCGGGCACGAGAGAGGGUUGUGCUCGUACCGCAGAAAUGGUUUUCGAGGAUGAAAGCAUUCAAAUAACCUCUGUUUCCUUUUCCAAGUGGGUGGAUCCCAUCUGAGGGUCCAGGCUGCCUCUGGAGUGGGGAUUUCAUUCCCUGAGGAACGGGCACACAUUUUACAUGGCAAGGAUGGAGAAACUCCUGCCUGGCAGAGCUGGACCUUCCCAAGACCCAGUGAAGACACUGGACCUCAGAGCCGGGCAAGAAAUGAUUUCACUGAACCCACUUUUCCUUCUGCUCCAGGAUACAAAGCUCCAGAUCUGACUGCGAGGGCUGAAUUCCCGAUUUUUCCCCUGGGACCAAAUGCCACUGCAGGACCCAGGAGAUGCAGGAAAGCAGAACCCCAGGAGGCUGCAGGGGCUUCAAACUUCCCCAGAGUGGUUUUUGUUGGCUCACCCGGAUCCUGGGGCAGGGAAAUCCACGGAUAACUCCCAGAAAGGAUCACACCCCACUCCAGAACCUUUUCCAGGGACAGUUUUAGGUGAUGAUUUACUGUGUACAUGGAGCCACUGUUUGUAUUUCUCUGUGCUUCUCUUGUGCUCUGAUUCUAUUUUUGUGCAUGGGAAAGAAAAGGAGAAUUAUUUUUAUUUUUA
rnacentral:lncRNA from 12 species